UUCCUGCUCAAUGACAUUUAAAUAGCCGCAGUACCCUGACUGUGCAAAGGUAGCAUAAUCAAUUGGCCUAUAAUUGAGGUCUGGCAUGAAUGGAAACCUGGGUAAAAUCUGUCUUAUCCUAAUUAAUAAAACUUACUUAAUAAGUGCAAAUACUUAUGUAUUAAUAUAAUAGACGAGAAGACCCUAGAAAUUUUAUAUAAUGUAGUGACUCGGUACUACUAUUUUGUUGGGGCGACAGGAUAACAAAUAACUUAUCCACAUAUAAUUUGAAGUUACUCAGCAUAUAAAUAAUUACUCUAGGGAUAACAGCAUAAUUUGUUUCAAGUUUGUGACCUCGAUGUUGGACUAGGGUAUAAAUUAUUUAGAAGAUAAUUUAGUAGGCUCUGUUCGAGCUAUUUACCCCU
rnacentral:rRNA from 1 species